rnacentral:lncRNA from 1 species
CAAUAAUCCCGCCUCAGCCUCCCAAAGCGCUGAGAUUACAGGCAUGAGUCACCGUGCCCAGCCCAUUUCUAGUAUUUUCUAAUGAUGCAUUUUUCUCUUCACUAUAGGUCAUCUUCCUGCUGAUUUGUAUGCCUGGUAGUUUUUCACUGGAUGCUCUACAUGAUUCAACAGAUGCAGAAAGAAGCCAUCUCAGAGCUUCCCUUAUCUCAUGAGAAGCAGAAACUUCUGAGAAAUGAGGACUGCUGUAAAUCUCCUCUUCUAGGGAAGUUUUAUGGCCACAGAGAAGAUGAAGUUGGCGCCAAGAUGGAUCUGCACAAACAAACCUUACUCCAUUAAUUUCCCUCAUAUAUUUACUUUCCCAUGGUUUACUGCCUUUGGGAGCCUAAGAUUUUUUUUUUUUCCUUUGACUUGUCACUUCUCUACGAAUUUAUUGUUCUUUGUUAAGAUGCAUAAACCCACAUUCUAACCACCUCUUUGAGUUUUUCAUCAUAUCACUGAGUUUCUCCUGGGUACACGCCCACUGUACAUGCUAAUAAACUAUUUGUUUUUCCCUUGUUAAUCUGUUUUUUCUCAGUUAAUUUUCA